UACGUAGGGUGCAAGCGUUAAUCGGAAUUACUGGGCGUAAAGCGUGCGCAGGCGGUUCGCUAAGACAGAUGUGAAAUCCCCGGGCUCAACCUGGGAACUGCAUUUGUGACUGCAUAGCUAGAGUACGGUAGAGGGGGAUGGAAUUCCGCGUGUAGCAGUGAAUGCGUAGAUAUGCGGAGGAACACCGAUGGCGAAGGCAAUCCCCUGGACCUGUACUGACGCUCAUGCACGAAAGCGUGGGGAGCAAACAGG
rnacentral:rRNA from 1 species